AUUGAACGCUGGCGGAAUGCUUUACACAUGCAAGUCGAACGGCAGCACGGACUUCGGUCUGGUGGCGAGUGGCGAACGGGUGAGUAAUGUAUCGGAACGUGCCCAGUCGUGGGGGAUAUGUAGUGAAAAUUACGCUAAUACCGCAUACGAUCUAUGGAUGAAAGCGGGGGAUCGCAAGACCUCGCGCGAUUGGAGCGGCCGAUAUCAGAUUAGGUAGUUGGUGGGGUAAAGGCCCACCAAGCCAACGAUCUGUAGCUGGUCUGAGAGGACGACCAGCCACACUGGAACUGAGACACGGUCCAGACUCCUACGGGAGGCAGCAGUGGGGAAUUUUGGACAAUGGGCGAAAGCCUGAUCCAGCCAUUCCGCGUGCAGGAUGAAGGCCCUCGGGUUGUAAACUGCUUUUGUACAGAACGAAAAGGUUUCUACUAAUACUAGGAGCUCAUGACGGUACUGUAAGAAUAAGCACCGGCUAACUACGUGCCAGCCGCCGCAGUAA
rnacentral:rRNA from 1 species